GGUCCCAUGGUGUAAUGGUCAGUAUUCAGGACUCUGAAUCCUGAGAUCUGAGUUCAUAUCUCAGUGGGACCU